rnacentral:lncRNA from 1 species
CUGUGGUGUAGGUUGCAGACGUGGCUUGGAUCCCAUGUUGCUGUGUCUGGCAUAGGCUGGUGACUGCAGCUCCGAUUUGAGCCCUAGCCUGGGAACCUCCAUAUGCUGUGGGUACAGCCCUAAAAAGCAAAAACAAACAAACAAACAAAAAAGCUACUGUGCAGACACCUCUGCCUUUGUGCUAUUCCAGGGGAAACCUCCACUCACUGUGAACACGUUUAAAAGAUAUAAUCAGGGGAGCCAAGAUGGAAAUGGGCAAAAUGGUUGUCUUGAACCUUUUGCCAGAAGGUAUUUCCACCUUUCCUGG